rnacentral:lncRNA from 1 species
UCUGCGCUUUCCCAGAGGCUGCACUCGCAGCAGUUUCACCAAAUAAUGUCCCGGCCCGGCCCGAAGCCCGCCGCCUCUUCCAGGCCCCGGCGCGGGGCGGCAGCUAGCCACACCCAGGAGCAUGUUAAUGAAAAGAAUAUUGGAUCAUCUUCUAAACCAGCAGAAAAGAAAGGAUCUGAUGAGGUGACAGCUUCCUCUGCUGCCACUGGCACAUCUCCCAGAAUGAGUACCACAGGAGCUAAGGCUGUGAAAAUAGAGUCUGAGAAGUCACAAUCAAGUGAGCCACCUGUGAUUCAUGAGAAAAAGCCAAAAGGAAAGCCAAAGGAAGGGUCAGAGCCCCAAACUCUUCCUAAGCAUGCAUCAGAUACAGGAAGUAAGCAUGCUCACAAAGAAAAAGCACUUUCCAGAUCAAAUGAGCAGAUAGUGUCAGAGAAAUCAUCAGAAUCAAAGACAAAAUUUCAAGAUGCUCCUUCUGCUGAUGGAGAGAGUGUGGCUGGAGGUGUGACUGUGGCCACUGCCUCAGACAAGGUGGUUGUUAAGGUGAGCAUUCAUAGACAGACAUAACAUGAGCCAUGCUUAUGAGGCUCUGGUUCUAAGAAGCACAUUAUCAGACAACCAUUCAGAAAUAAUGGAUACUGUUUGUGUAUUUUUGUGAAGAAGAGCAUAUGUUUUUGGAAUUUAAAGUGAGAAAAACACUGAAAUAAUUUUGAAACUAUAUAUCUAGUAAAUA